GAUGAACGCUGGCGGCGUGCCUAAUACAUGCAAGUCGAGCGAACAGAUAAGGAGCUUGCUCCUUUGACGUUAGCGGCGGACGGGUGAGUAACACGUGUGUAACCUACCUAUAAGACUGGUAUAACUCCGGGAAACCGGGGCUAAUGCAGGAUAACAUUUUGAACCUCAUGGUUCUACAGUGAAAUUCGUCUUUGCUUUCACUUAUAGAUGGACCCGCGCCGUUUUAGCUAGUUGGUGAGGUAACGGGUCACCAAGGCAACGAUACGUAGCCGACCUGAGAGGGUGAUCGGCGACACUGGAACUGAGAAACGGAACAGAGUCAUACGGGAGGCAGCAGUAGGGAAUGUUCCGCAAUGGGCGAAAGGAUGACGGAGGAAAGGCGCGUGAGUGAUGAAGGUGUUCGGAUCGUAAAAAACUGUUAUUAGGGAAGAAAAAAAGAGUAAGUAAAUGAGCGGGUAUUGACGGUAACUAAUAAGAAAGCAACGGCUAACUACGUG
rnacentral:rRNA from 1 species